rnacentral:rRNA from 1 species
AUUGAACGCUGGCGGCAUGCUUUACACAUGCAAGUCGAACGGCAGCGCGGGCUUCGGCCUGGCGGCGAGUGGCAAACGGGUGAGUAAUACAUCGGAACGUGCCCAGUAGUGGGGGAUAGCUCGGCGAAAGCCGGAUUAAUACCGCAUACGACCUGAGGGUGAAAGCGGGGGAUCUUCGGACCUCGCGCUAUUGGAGCGGCCGAUGGCAGAUUAGCUAGUUGGUGGGGUAAAGGCCUACCAAGGCGACGAUCUGUAGCUGGUCUGAGAGGACGACCAGCCACACUGGGACUGAGACACGGCCCAGACUCCUACGGGAGGCAGCAGUGGGGAAUUUUGGACAAUGGGCGAAAGCCUGAUCCAGCAAUGCCGCGUGUGUGAUGAAGGCCUUCGGGUUGUAAAGCACUUUUGGCGGGAACGAAAAGGACUGUGCCAAUACCACGGUUCGAUGACGGUACCCGCAGAAUAAGCACCGGCUAACUACGUG